AUGAAAUGUGGGCUGUUAAAUAUCAGGUCUCUGUCCUCUAAAGCUGUUUUAGUGAAUGAAUUAAUAUCAGAUUAUGAUAUUGAUUUACUUUGUCUUACUGAGACCUGGUUGUCCCACGAGGAGUAUGUUAGCCUAAAUGAAUCCACCCCCCCCAGUCAUAUUAAUACUCACAUUCCUCGAGGCACAGGCCGAGGAGGUGGAGUAGCAGCUAUAUAUGAUUCGAGCGUUUUAAUGGACCCUAAACCUAAACUAAAUUAUAAUUCAUUUGAAAGCCUUGUUCUUAGUCUUUCUCACCCAAACUGGAAAACACUGCAGCCAGUUCUAUUUGUUAUAGUGUACCGCGCUCCUGGACCGUACUCUGAUUUUAUAUCUGAAUUUUCAGAGUUUCUAUCAAGCUUAGUCCUUAAAUCAGAUAAAGUAAUUAUUGUAGGUGAUUUUAAUAUUCAUGUGGAUGUUGACAAUGACAGCCUUAGUAAUGCAUUUAUAUCAUUAAUAGACUCAAUUGGCUUCUGUCAGAGUGUAAAUAAACCAACUCAUUGUUUUAAUCACACUCUUGACCUUGUUUUAUCAUAUGGCAUUGAUAUUGAACAUUUAAUAGUCUUCCCACAUAAUCCUUUCCUAUCUGACCAUUAUUUAGUAACUUUUGAAUUCAUACUAUUAGAUUAUAAGCCAUUAGGCAAAACUUCCUACAGCAGAUGUCUAUCUGACAGUGCUGUAGCUAAAUUUAAGGAGGAGAUUCCUUCAGUGUUUAAUUCAAUGCCAUGUCUGAAUUUAACAGAGUCCUAUAACAACUUUAGUCCCUCUGAAAUUGAUAAUCUUGUCGAUAGUGCUACAGGCUCACUACGAUCAACAUUAGACUCUAUCGCUCCUAUAAAAAGGAAAUUAUUAAAACAUAGGAGACUAGCACCUUGGUAUAACCACCAAACCCGCCAGUUAAAGCAAAUAGCUAGGAAAUCUGAAAGGAAAUGGCGCUCUUCCAAAUUAUCAGAAUAUCGCUCAAAUUGGCAAGAUGAUCUUAAGAUUUAUAGAAAGGCCCUCCGUAAUGCCAGAGGAGCCUAUUACUCAGCACUAAUAGAAGAAAAUAAGAACAACCCUAGGUUCCUCUUCAGCACUGUAGCCAGGCUGACAGAGAGUCACAGCUCUAUCGAGCCACAUAUCCCCAUAAACUUAAGUAGCAAUGACUUCAUGAGCUUCUUCUAUAAUAAAAUUAUUACUAUUAGAGAAAAAAUUAAUCACCAACUGCCAUCAACAGUUAUCAGUGGCUCUCCAAGUUCAGGGACUUUUGUCAAUGUAAACUUAGAUGUAUAUUUAGACUGUUUUUCUGCUAUCGAUCUUCAUCAGUUAACUUCAAUCAUUUCUUCAUCGAAGCCAUCAACCUGUCUGUUAGACCCGAUCCCAACUAGGCUGCUUAAAGAAGUUGUUCCCUUAAUUGGCACUUCUUUACUGGAUAUGAUUAAUCUUUCUUUAUUAUCAGGAUAUGUACCACAGUCCUUUAAAGUAGCUGUAAUUAAACCCCUUCUUAAAAAGUCCACUCUUGACCCAGGGGUUUUAGCCAACUAUAGAGCCGAUUUCUAA
rnacentral:lncRNA from 15 species